CCUACGGGAGGCAGCAGUAAGGAAUAUUGGUCAAUGGAGGCAACUCUGAACCAGCCAUGCCGCGUGCAGGAUGACGGCCCUAUGGGUUGUAAACUGCUUUUAUACAAGAGAAAACCCUGGUACGUGUACCAGGUUGAUAGUAUUGUAAGAAUAAGCAUCGGCUAACUUCGUGCCAGCAGCCGCGGUAAGACGAAGGAUGCAAGCGUUAUCCGGAUUCAUUGGGUUUAAAGGGUGCGUAGGCGGACUGAUAAGUCAGUGGUGAAAUCUCUUUGCUUAACAAAGAAACUGCCAUUGAUACUGUCGGUCUAGAGUAUAGAUGACGUUGGCGGAAUAUGACAUGUAGUGGUGAAAUACUUAGAUAUGUCAUAGAACACCGAUUGCGAAGGCAGCUAACGAAACUAUAACUGACGCUGAGGCACGAAAGUGCGGGGAUCAAACAGGAUUAGAUACCCUGGUAGUCCGCACCGUAAACGAUGAUUACUCGUUGUUGGCGAUAUGACAGUCAGCGACCAAGCGAAAGCGAUAAGUAAUCCACCUGGGGAGUACGCCGGCAACGGUGAAACGUCAGGAAUUGAGGCUUGAGAGNGCGAGGACGACGACGAGGGAGGAGG
rnacentral:rRNA from 1 species